rnacentral:rRNA from 1 species
UACGAAGGGGGCUAGCGUUGUUCGGAAUUACUGGGCGUAAAGGGCGCGCAGGCGGCCUAACAAGUCAGGCGUGAAAGCCCCGGGCUUAACCUGGGAAUUGCGCUUGGGACUGUGAGGCUUGAGUACGGGAGAGGAGAGUGGAAUUCCCAGUGUAGAGGUGAAAUUCGUAGAUAUUGGGAAGAACACCGGUGGCGAAGGCGGCUCUCUGGACCGUAACUGACGCUGAGGCGCGAAAGCGUGGGGAGCAAACAGG